AGCAGCCGCGGUAAUUCCAGCUCCAAUAGCGUAUAUUAAAGUUGUUGCAGUUAAAAAGCUCGUAGUUGAACUUCGGGGUUCACCCAUUGGUCAGGCUUAAUUGUCUGCACUGGUGAGAUGAGUCUCUACCUUCUGAGGAACUUUCAUGUCAUUAAUUUGGUGUGAUGGGAAAUCAGGACUGUUACUUUGAAAAAUUAGAGUGUUUAAAGCAGGCUAACGUCUGAAUACAUUAGCAUGGAAUAAUGAAAUAGGACGGACUGAUUCUAUUUCGUUGGUUUCUAGGAUCACCGUAAUGAUUAAUAGGGAUAGUUGGGGGCAUUAGUAUUCAAUUGUCAGAGGUGAAAUUCUUGGAUUUAUUGAAGACUAACUACUGCGAAAGCAUUUGCCAAGGAUGUUUUU
rnacentral:rRNA from 1 species